rnacentral:tRNA from 1 species
GGAGGGGUGGCCGAGUGGUUGAAGGCACCGGUCUUGAAAACCGGCAGGGCUACGGCCCUCGUGGGUUCGAAUCCCACCCCCUCCG